rnacentral:rRNA from 1 species
UCGGGAUGAGUACAGUGGCGAACGGGUGAGUAACGCGUGAGAAUUUACCCAUCAGUGGGGGAUACCUUUGGGAAACCGAAGUUAAUACCGCAUGACCUUUAAAUAGAAAAGGCGGCCUCUUUGCUGUCGCUGAUGGAUGAGCUCGCGUACUAUUAGCUAGUUGGUGGGGUAAUGGCCUACCAAGGCGAUGAUGGUUAGCCGGCCUGAGAGGGUGAUCGGCCACACUGGGACUGAGAUACGGCCCAGACUCC